rnacentral:rRNA from 1 species
CACGUAGGGUGCGAGCGUUGCCCGGAAUUAUUGGGCGUAAAGAGCUCGUAGGCGGCUUGUCGCGUCGACUGUGAAAACCCGCGGCUCAACUGCGGGCCUGCAGCCGAUACGGGCAGGCUAGAGUUCGGUAGGGGAGACUGGAAUUCCUGGUGUAGCGGUGAAAUGCGCAGAUAUCUGGAGGAACACCGGUGGCGAAGGCGGCAUCCUGGACCGAGAUUGACGCUGAGGCGCGAAAGCCAGGGGAGCAAACGGG